rnacentral:lncRNA from 1 species
GAGACGCAGUCUUGCACUGUCACCCGGGCUGGACUGCAGUGGCACGAUCUCGGCUCACUGCAACUUCUGCCUCCCGGGUUCAAGCGAUUCUCCUGUGUCAGCCUCCCAAGUAGCUGGGCUUACAGGUGCCCGCCACCACGCCCAGCUAAUUUUUUGUAUUUUUAGUAGAGAUGGGGUUUCACCACAUUGGCCAGGCUGGUCUCCAACUCCUGACCUUGUGAUUCACCUGCCUUGGCCUCCCAAAGUGCUGGGAUUACAGGCAUGAGCCACCGCGCCUGGCCCAUGCUCUAUUAUUAUCCAUUUGUUCAAAUGACAGACACUGGAGCGGAUGGUUAACAAAAAUGACUUAAGUCAUUAUAUAUUGACUUGAAUAUAUUUCUUCUUUUAUCUUUAACUUCAGUGAUAAUGAAAGUAAUUGAAAUGUCUUUGAAUGUAGAUUUUAUUUAUACAUUUUUUAACUAAAUAUUUGAUCUUUGAAAUAUUAAAAUAUCUAUGUGGUUGGUUCUUUCUCCUUCCCAGUCAGUAUAGAUUUAAGAAGGCUAGAUGUUUUAUUCUGAUCUGAAUAAUACUGUCAUUGAGAAUUCUGAAGGAGAAAGUAUAUAAAAUCAUGUAUAGACAGCGCCGAUGUUUAUGUAUAGAUCCCUCUCUGAGCUCCAAUGUGUCUGUAAUUUCUGCUUAUAGGUGAAACUGCUUAAAAUUCCCAUUAUACCUUUUAUACAAUUUGUGCAAAACGGUAAUAUUUCUCUUAACGGAAGAAGUAAACUCAUGCAUCAAGCUGAUGAUAAUUGAUAAGGCAUUAGUAAUUUCAUUCUGAGGAUAAUUAUAAACCUGUAUUUGUGCUAAUAAAAUAUAAAAAUUCUUGGACUAACCAUGAACUGAGCAUAAUAAUGGUUUUAACAGCAGUGCUCUCCCAUUAUAUAAACAGUUCAGAGACUAUGGAAUAUUUGCACGAAUUGGUUGUAUACUUGGAAAAUGGUAGCCCCCUUUUAUUUUACAUAACAUGCACCCCUCCCUAGUUAGAAUACUGUGUCUUGAUGUGAGCAUAUGGACUAUGGAGUGUGUUGAAUAGCAUUUGCUGUAAAACUAGAACUAUAAACCCUGAAUUUGGUGUCUUAUUCUCCCAAAUGGGUUCUGUAAAGGGAGCACUCAUAUAGGGAAGGAUUUAAUGUACUGUCAAUUAAAAGUUUUUGCAUAGUAAAAUGUUUCUAUUUGUUUUAAAAUAGCUUUAGGUUGGUCUCAGCCUUGUGAUGUUUGGAGCAUAGGUUGCAUUCUUAUUGAAUAUUACCUUGGUUUCACAGUCUUUCAGGUACGUGGCUAGUAAAUUCCAUUUAAUAAUUCAUAACAAAUUGUAAACGUUAAAGGUAUGCUAAAGUUUUGACUUCCAUAUUGGAAAAUUGCCAUACAUCAUUAUUCUUGAGAUUAAAACUUAGGCAAAAUGGUCAUUCUUUAAAACCACAGUUGAAUGAAAUAUUACUAUGAGUGAGUGAUCAUAGUUAAUUUUGCAUGUGAUUAGUGUUUGUAACACAUGGUUCAUAUAUGGUUCAUACUGUCUCCUUUUUUAAAUUGUAGAGCUUCUUCAUAAAUUUGCAGUAGUGUUAAUGUGGCCAGUUUUCAGUUAUAGUUAUGUUGACUAUCAAUAUGGCCAUGAACGAGUCACUUAUUCCUUUUUAUAAAAGAAUUCAGAAACAACAAGGGAUUGUAUUUUACUCUUAAGUAUUAAGCAUCUAUAAUGUCUUAGGCAUUUCUAAGUAUAAGUACAUAAAGGUGAAGAGACAACAUCUUUCUCAAGUCAUGCAAAAGACAUUGGAAAGUUAUCGCAGUAUAGUGUAGCAUUUGCUGUGAUGGAACAACGUAGAAAGUGUAGGUAGGGAGGGCCAGGCGGGGUAGCUCACACCUGUAAUCCCAGCACUUUGGGAGGCUGAGGUGGGUGGAUCAUGAGGUCAGGAGAUCGAGACCAUCCUGGCUAACAUGGUGAAAC